rnacentral:rRNA from 1 species
AUUGAACGCUGGCGGCAUGCUUUUCACACGCAAGUCGAACGGUAACAGGCCGCAAGGUGCUGACGAGUGGCGAACGGGUGAGUAAUGCAUCGGAACGUGCCCAGUCGUGGGGGAUAACUGCUCGAAAGAGCAGCUAAUACCGCAUACGAUCUAUGGAUGAAAGCGGGGGACCGUAAGGCCUCGCGCGAUUGGAGCGGCCGAUGUCAGAUUAGGUAGUUGGUGGGGUAAAGGCUCACCAAGCCAACGAUCUGUAGCUGGUCUGAGAGGACGACCAGCCACACUGGAACUGAGACACGGCCCGGACCCCUACGGGAGGCAGCAGUGGGGAAUUUUGGACAAUGGGGGCAACCCUGAUCCAGCAAUGCCGCGUGCAGGAAGAAGGCCUUCGGGUUGUAAACUGCUUUUGUACGGAACGAAACGGUCUGGGUUAAUACCCUGGGCUAAUGACGGUACCGUAAGAAUAAGCACCGGCUAACUACGUGCCAGCCGCCGCCGUAAUAC